rnacentral:rRNA from 1 species
CCUACGGGAGGCAGCAGUGGGGAAUCUUGCACAAUGGAGGAAACUCUGAUGCAGCGAUGCCGCGUGAGUGAAGAAGGCCUUUGGGUUGUAAAGCUCUUUUGUAGGGGAAGAUAAUGACUGUACCCUAAGAAUAAGGUCCGGCUAACUUCGUGCCAGCAGCCGCGGUAAUACGAAGGGACCUAGCGUAGUUCGGAAUUACUGGGCGUAAAGCGCGCGUAGGCCGUUGAGUUAGUUAAUUGUGAAAUCCCAAAGCUUAACUUUGGAACUGCAAUUAAAACUGCUCGACUAGAGUUUGAUAGAGGAAAGCGGAAUACAUAGUGUAGAGGUGAAAUUCGUAGAUAUUAUGUAGAACACCAGUUGCGAAGGCGGCUUUCUGGAUCAACACUGACGCUGAGGCGCGAAAGUAUGGGUAGCAAAGAGGAUUAGAUACCCUCGUAGUCCAUACCAUAAACGAUGAUUGCUAGAUGUUGGAAAUUUAUUUUCAGUAUCGCAGCUAACGCAUUAAGCAAUCCGCCUGGGGAGUACGACCGCAAGGUUAAACUCAAAGGAAUUGACGGCUGAGAGNGCGACGACGACGACGAGGGAGGUAG